AAAUUGAAGAGUUUGAUCAUGGCUCAGAUUGAACGCUGGCGGCAGGCCUAACACAUGCAAGUCGAACGGUAACAGGAAGCAGCUUGCUGCUUCGCUGACGAGUGGCGGACGGGUGAGUAAUGUCUGGGAAACUGCCUGAUGGAGGGGGAUAACUACUGGAAACGGUGGCUAAUACCGCAUAACGUCGCAAGACCAAAGAGGGGGACCUUCGGGCCUCUUGCCAUCAGAUGUGCCCAGAUGGGAUUAGCUUGUUGGUGAGGUAACGGCUCACCAAGGCGACGAUCCCUAGCUGGUCUGAGAGGAUGACCAGCCACACUGGAACUGAGACACGGUCCAGACUCCUACGGGAGGCAGCAGUGGGGAAUAUUGCACAAUGGGCGCAAGCCUGAUGCAGCCAUGCCGCGUGUAUGAAGAAGGCCUUCGGGUUGUAAAGUACUUUCAGCGGGGAGGAAGGUGUUGUGGUUAAUAACCACAGCAAUUGACGUUACCCGCAGAAGAAGCACCGGCUAACUCCGUGCCAGCAGCCGCGGUAAUACGGAGGGUGCAAGCGUUAAUCGGAAUUACUGGGCGUAAAGCGCACGCAGGCGGUCUGUCAAGUCGGAUGUGAAAUCCCCGGGCUCAACCUGGGAACUGCAUUCGAAACUGGCAGGCUUGAGUCUUGUAGAGGGGGGUAGAAUUCCAGGUGUAGCGGUGAAAUGCGUAGAGAUCUGGAGGAAUACCGGUGGCGAAGGCGGCCCCCUGGACAAAGACUGACGCUCAGGUGCGAAAGCGUGGGGAGCAAACAGGAUUAGAUACCCUGGUAGUCCACGCCGUAAACGAUGUCUACUUGGAGGUUGUGCCCUUGAGGCGUGGCUUCCGGAGCUAACGCGUUAAGUAGACCGCCUGGGGAGUACGGCCGCAAGGUUAAAACUCAAAUGAAUUGACGGGGGCCCGCACAAGCGGUGGAGCAUGUGGUUUAAUUCGAUGCAACGCGAAGAACCUUACCUGGUCUUGACAUCCACAGAACUUUCCAGAGAUGGACUGGUGCCUUCGGGAACUGUGAGACAGGUGCUGCAUGGCUGUCGUCAGCUCGUGUUGUGAAAUGUUGGGUUAAGUCCCGCAACGAGCGCAACCCUUAUCCUUUGUUGCCAGCGGUUAGGCCGGGAACUCAAAGGAGACUGCCAGUGAUAAACUGGAGGAAGGUGGGGAUGACGUCAAGUCAUCAUGGCCCUUACGACCAGGGCUACACACGUGCUACAAUGGCGCAUACAAAGAGAAGCGACCUCGCGAGAGCAAGCGGACCUCAUAAAGUGCGUCGUAGUCCGGAUUGGAGUCUGCAACUCGACUCCAUGAAGUCGGAAUCGCUAGUAAUCGUGGAUCAGAAUGCCACGGUGAAUACGUUCCCGGGCCUUGUACACACCGCCCGUCACACCAUGGGAGUGGGUUGCAAAAGAAGUAGGUAGCUUAACCUUCGGGAGGGCGCUUACCACUUUGUGAUUCAUGACUGGGGUGAAGUCGUAACAAGGUAACCGUAGGGGAACCUGCGGUUGGAUCACCUCCUUACCUUAAAGAAGC
rnacentral:rRNA from 1 species